rnacentral:rRNA from 1 species
GUACACGCUGUGACUAGCAUAUCAAUAAGCGGAGGAAAAGAAACUAACAAGGAUUCCCCUAGUAACGGCGAGUGAAGCGGGAAGAGCUCAAAUUUGAAAUCUUAAAGGGUUUCCCUUUACGAAUUGUAGUUUAAAGAAGUGUUUUCUGUUGAGGUUUUGGUAAAAGUUCUUUGGAAUAGGACAUCAUAGAGGGUGAGAAUCCCGUAUUUGACCUUUACUUUCAACUUUGUGAUACACUUUCAAAGAGUCGGAUUGUUUGGGAAUGCAGUCCAAAAUGGGUGGUAAAUCUCAUCUAAAGCUAAAUAUUGGCGAGAGACCGAUAGCGAACAAGUACCGUGAGGGAAAGAUGAAAAGAACUUUGAAAAGAGAGUUAAACAGUACGUGAAAUUGUCAAAAGGGAAGCGUUUGACACCAGUGUUGUUUUUCUGAAAAUCAAUUAAAGAACUGUUUAUGCUAAGUUGUUUAGACUUUAUCAGCUAACUGUUUAGUUUUGAGCUUUUCUUUAAUGCACUUUUCAGUUAACAAGUCAACAUCAAUUUCUUUUGCUGUAAAAAAGCUUGAGGAAGGUGGCUUGAGAUUCGUCUUAAGUGUUUAUAGCCUCUUGCCUAUGCAGUCGGAGAGAUUGAGGUCUGCAGCGUAGAUCCUUCGGGGCUAAAUGCAUUUGUGCUAAGUUAUAACAUUUUAUAGACAACUUGUUGACUAUGAUUUGUCUUGUAGCUUACUCGCUUAUGUUAUUUUACCUACGCUUAGGAUGUUGACAGCAGUAUAGACUGU